rnacentral:misc_RNA from 1 species
GAUAAGAUGGGUUGGAACAACUCUGGAAAUAACAUUUCAACAUGAAAGUUAUGCAUACAAGUACUUAAAGGUAAUAAAUUCUGAGCAUGAGAGUCAUGAAAACAAGUAAAGGUAGGUAAUCUCAGUAAAACUAGGAAGUAGAUUCUCAUAUCAAUCAACUAAAGCAUGGACAAGAAUAUUUCCACAAAAAAAAUUCUAUGCAUACACAAUAAACCAUUUUUUUCAUUCACAUUUAUCAUUUCGUGGUUUUUUGCUAUCAUACUUUUGAGCAUAAGAACAGAACAUUAUUGAUUUCCAUGGGCAAUAGUCUUGACCACCAUCACCACCCCAACCAAAAGAACCCCCUCUCGAUUCUCUAUUUCCAGUAGCCUCUUCAACCAAGCUUUUAAACUUAUCACUAAAAUUAAGUGUGAUCACCUUAAUCUUAUUUGCCAAAUAAAAAUCAACCAAUUUGUGCUUGGAUAACAACUAUCAAAUUCUCGAGGAAUUUUGAUAGAAUUUUUAUGUGGUAGGCAAAUAAGAUUAUAUAUAUACA